rnacentral:tRNA from 1 species
AAGAUUUUAAGUUAACCAAACUUAAAGCCUUCAAAGUUUUACAUAUAUUCUCACCAAUAUAAAUCUUA